GUCGGGAAUUUUGCGCAAUGGGGGAAACCCUGACGCAGCGACGCCGCGUGCGCGACGAAACCCUUCGGGGUGUAAAGCGCUUUUAUCUCGGACGAACCCCCUCCGGUCGAAUAGGCCGGGGGAUUGACGGUACGGGAUGAAUAAGCCUCGGCUAACUCCGUGCCAGCAGCCGCGGUAAGACGGGGGAGGCGAGCGUUGUCCGGAAUUACUGGGUGUAAAGGGCAGGCAGGCGGACUCGUAAGUCCAGGGUGAAAUCCAUCGGCUCAACCGGUCGGACGGCCCCGGAUACUGCGAGCCUUGAGUCGAGCAGGGGAGAGGGGAAUUCCUGGUGUAGCGGUGAAAUGCGUAGAUAUCAGGAGGAACACCGGUGGCGAAGGCGCCUCUCUGGGCUCGUACUGACGCUCAUACUGCGAAAGCUGGGGGAGCAAACAGGAUUAGAAACCCCGGUAGUCC
rnacentral:rRNA from 1 species